rnacentral:rRNA from 1 species
ACGAACGCUGGCGGCGUGCUUAACACAUGCAAGUCGAACGGAAAGGCCCCUUUGGGGGUACUCGAGUGGCGAACGGGUGAGUAACACGUGAGUAACCUGCCCUUGACUUCGGGAUAACUUCAGGAAACUGGGGCUAAUACCGGAUAGGAAUCCUUGCUGCAUGGUGGGGGUUGGAAAGCUUCGGCGGUUUUGGAUGGACUCGCGGCUUAUCAGCUUGUUGGUGGGGUAGUGGCUUACCAAGGCUUUGACGGGUAGCCGGCCUGAGAGGGCGACCGGCCACAUUGGGACUGAGAUACGGCCCAGACGCCUACGGGAGGCAGCAGUGGGGAAUAUUGCACAAUGGGCGGAAGCCGGAUGCAGCAACGCCGCGGGCGGGAUGACGGCCUUCGGGUUGUAAACCGCUUUCAGCAGGGGCGAAGCUUGUGGUGACGGUACCUGCAGAAGAAGCACCGGCUAACUACGUG